UCACUGCGUUGGGUAGGGAAACGCCGGCAGACGUCUGAAGCCGCGUAGAUUUUUUUCCAUAAUUUUAUUAAACAAGAAAUAUCCCGGUGUGUAAACAAAAUACAUCUGAGUUGGAAAGCUGCCCGCCCGGGGCUGGACCUGGCCGGCUCAGGAGCUGUGCUUCUGCCGCUUCCAGAAGCGCUUGACGUCGCUGUGCCCUGCCGGCGUCACCACCAUCAGCCGCUUGGCCGAGUUCUCGAACACAAGCACGCCCAGCUCCCGCGCGUGGGCCAGCAGCAGUUCAAAGUCCACUUGCGACAGGAACUGGUUAUACAGGACGCCUGGGGUCGGGUGGGACAGGCAGGAGGUGAGGGGCUGCAGUGGUCUCUGCCCCUCCAAGCAGCAUGCAGGCAGGGGCUGCAGGCCACAGUUCUUAGGACUAAUUCUCUACGGAUAGUCGACUGUUCAACUUUAACACCUGUGGCAUCCAGACACUCGAAAAGACAGCAGAAUCCACAAGAAAAGCCACGCAAACCCACCUAAAGAGAAGACUGAAUUACCCUGCCUCUUAUCCCCUCACCUAGCUUAAUUCAAACUGCACUGAUUUGGGACAUAUUUCCUGCUACUAAUAUACCAAAAUAAAAGAUCAGUCUUCCUCUCCUUCCCUUUU
rnacentral:lncRNA from 1 species